GACAUGGGAAUCAAGCUCACAGACCAGGAACUUGAAGAUCUGAAAGAAAACCUGCCAGUCAGUGUUGAUAAUACAGUUGCUCUGAAAAUUUUGAAGGAUGAAGUGAAAGCUUUUAUAGG